rnacentral:rRNA from 1 species
UCCUACGGGAGGCAGCAGUGGGGAAUAUUGGACAAUGGGGGCAACCCUGAUCCAGCCAUGCCGCGUGUGUGAAGAAGGCCUUCGGGUUGUAAAGCACUUUCAGCGAKGAGGAAAGCGUUAAGGUUAAUACCCUUAGCGUGUGACGUUACUCGCAGAAGAAGCACCGGCAAACUCCGUGCCAGCAGCCGCGGUAAUACGGAGGGUGCGAGCGUUAAUCGGAAUUACUGGGCGUAAAGCGCGCGUAGGCGGUUUGUUAAGCCAGAUGUGAAAGCCCUGGGCUCAACCUAGGAACGGCAUCUKGAACUGGCAAGCUAGAGUACAGKAGAGGAAGGUAGAAUUCCACGUGUAGCGGUGAAAUGCGUAGAKAUGKGGAGGAAUACCAGUGGCGAAGGCGGCCUUCUGGACUGAUACUGACGCUGAGGUGCGAAAGCGUGGGKAGCAAACAGGAUUAGAUACCCUGGUAGUCCACGCCGUAAACGAUGUCAACUAGCCGUUGGGAGCCUUGAGUUCUUAGUGGCGCAGCUAACGCACUAAGUUGACCGCCUGGGGAGUACGGCCGCAAGGUUAAAACUCAAAGGAAUUGACGGA